rnacentral:rRNA from 1 species
GACGAACGCUGGCGGCGUGCUUAACACAUGCAAGUCGAACGGAAAGGCCCUGCUUUUGUGGGGUGCUCGAGUGGCGAACGGGUGAGUAACACGUGAGUAACCUGCCCUUGACUUUGGGAUAACUUCAGGAAACUGGGGCUAAUACCGGAUAGGAGCUCCUGCUGCAUGGUGGGGGUUGGAAAGUUUCGGCGGUUGGGGAUGGACUCGCGGCUUAUCAGCUUGUUGGUGGGGUAGUGGCUUACCAAGGCUUUGACGGGUAGCCGGCCUGAGAGGGUGACCGGCCACAUUGGGACUGAGAUACGGCCCAGACUCCUACGGGAGGCAGCAGUGGGGAAUAUUGCACGAUGGGCGGAAGCCUGAUGCAGCAACGCCGCGUGCGGGAUGACGGCCUUCGGGUUGUAAACCGCUUUCGCCUGUGACGAAGCGUGAGUGACGGUAAUGGGUAAAGAAGCACCGGCUAACUACGUGCCAGCAGCCGCGGUGAUACGUAGGGUGCGAGCGUUGUCCGGAUUUAUUGGGCGUAAAGGGCUCGUAGGUGGUUGAUCGCGUCGGAAGUGUAAUCUUGGGGCUUAACCCUGAGCGUGCUUUCGAUACGGGUUGACUUGAGGAAGGUAGGGGAGAAUGGAAUUCCUGGUGGAGCGGUGGAAUGCGCAGAUAUCAGGAGGAACACCAGUGGCGAAGGCGGUUCUCUGGGCCUUUCCUGACGCUGAGGAGCGAAAGCGUGGGGAGCGAACAGGCUUAGAUACCCUGGUAGUCCACGCUGUAAACGGUGGGUACUAGGUGUGGGGUCCAUUCCACGGGUUCCGUGCCGUAGCUAACGCUUUAAGUACCCCGCCUGGGGAGUACGGCCGCAAGGCUAAAACUCAAAGGAAUUGACGGGGCCCCGCACAAGCGGCGGAGCAUGCGGAUUAAUUCGAUGCAACGCGUAGAACCUUACCUGGGUUUGACAUGGAUCGGGAGCGCUCAGAGAUGGGUGUGCCUCUUUUGGGGUCGGUUCACAGGUGGUGCAUGGCUGUCGUCAGCUCGCGUCGUGAGAUGUUGGGUUAAGUCCCGCAACGAGCGCAACCCUUGUUCACUGUUGCCAGCACGUUAUGGUGGGGACUCAGUGGAGACCGCCGGGGUCAACUCGGAGGAAGGUGGGGAUGACGUCAAGUCAUCAUGCCCCUUAUGUCCAGGGCUUCACGCAUGCUACAAUGGCUGGUACAGAGAGUGGCGAGCCUGUGAGGGUGAGCGAAUCUCGGAAAGCCGGUCUCAGUUCGGAUUGGGGUCUGCAACUCGACCUCAUGAAGUCGGAGUCGCUAGUAAUCGCAGAUCAGCAACGCUGCGGUGAAUACGUUCCCGGGGCU